GACAAGGUGGCUGAAGUUUUAGGCUGUAAAUUGUAAAUUUACAUAUGAGUUUAUACCUCUCUUGUUA
rnacentral:tRNA from 1 species